GACGUAGGGCGCAAGCGUUGUCCGGAUUUAUUGGGCGUAAAGAGCUCGUAGGCGGCUUGUUGCGUCGUCCGUGAAAACCUGUGGCUCAACUACAGGCUUGCGGUCGAUACGGGCGGGCUGGAGUUCGGUAGGGGAGACUGGAAUUCCUGGUGUAGCGGUGAAAUGCGCAGAUAUCAGGAAGAGCACCCGUGGCGAAGGCGGCUCUCUGGGACGGUACUGACGCUGAGACGCGAAAGCGUGGGGAGCGAACAGG
rnacentral:rRNA from 1 species